GUCCCCGUGGUCUAGCGGCUAGGAUAUCUGACUACGACUGUGUAAUCAGGGGAUCACGGUUUCGAAUACCGUCGGGGAUU
rnacentral:tRNA from 1 species